AACAAACAAACAAGCUCAGUCAGGGCUAGGCCAUUUAUGAUAAACCAUUUUUUCUUCUUCUUCUGCACUUCACCCCCCCAACACCUUUGGCCAUGUUUUCAAUUUAAAAAAAGACUAGUGAUUUUUGGGUGCCCAAUUUUCAGCACUUUCUAAAAAACAGGCCUCUUUAAAGUAACUCCAAUUUCAACUUCAACUUCUCCACAAUGAGAAGUUGCUUUAAAAACCAGUGGCCAAUAUGUCUCUUGGCUGACAGCUUCCGAAACCUGGACACCUUCCUAUGAUAGCCUAAUGAGUAGUUGUAAUGAGAGGGGAUCCUAAACGUUUAAAAGGGUUCAUUGUAGUUGGUCUCACAGAAAUGGAGUAAGAGUGUAGAUACUAAUCCCAAAACAAAUGCAGAUGAAAAUACAAGAUGGCAGCUAAAAGUUCCUCAUACCAUUUAUUCAGGUCUCAAUGACUUCAUCUGAAAAUAAAGCCAAGACAGCCUUCGGUUGGGACACAACACAAUCUUAUUACCAUAUGCUACUUAUGCACACUGUAAUGCAUUCCCAGAUAGAAUUAUGUAUUACUUAACACACCAUCCCUUUAAAUGGAAACCAGUCUUCUGAAUAGAUUUUAGACAGCUUUUCCCUUAACAUUCUAGAAAGUUCAGUUCUGCCCAAGCAUCUCAUGUCCCCUUCACGGGAGAUCCCAAUGGACUCUCCACCUGGCAUGAUCCAACUUUUUAGGCAGUUCUGGUGAGAGACUCAUCUAAAAACAGCUCUGGCUGACAAUUUCUGUGGUAUAGCCCAGAUCCAACCCUCUGGGAUGUGUCAGCCUAACACCGUAAGGGAAAGGGAAGCUGAUCAGGACUUGAAGUUGACAGGUAAGAGGAAUGAGUGGAGAGAACCGUGUGAAAACCAAGCAGCAGGUGGGAUGUGCAGAGAAAAGGGGAGAGGCCGGGGUUGCUAGGAAAGGGAAGCAACUGUGGGAUCCAUGUCUGAGGUGGACAGGGGAUUAGCAGACCUAAGUGUGAGAAAGAGCAUGGAAAAUUCAAGUGCAAUAUUAAAAAAAGACAAUCUCUUUAUGGACAGUCUCAUGCAAUUUCUCAGUACACACACAACUCUUCUACUUCAAGAACUACUUCCUGCAUGGCGGUGGAAGGAAAGAAGUGCAGGCAGCCUUGCUGAGCGAUGCCAGGACAGCACAGUCCUGCGUCCUGUUCAUGUGCACAGGCAGAGAACCAAAGCAUUACCCAGCCUACAUUUUCAGUGUCCAGGGACUGCACAAAACCACCCCACGGGACACCGUGAGAAAUCCCACUGCAAUACAGAAUUCAAUUUCAAGCUACUAAGAUUUUGGGGGGAGGUAGUGGGGUGUUUCUUUUGAGUAUCAGCAUUUUUAAAGGAUUACAAAUCACAGUGUCUAAUGCCAAGCCUACACUAGGAAAGGUUUGCUGGGACAGCUAUCCUGCCAACUGGCAAAAAGGUGCUCUGGCUGUCAAAGCUUAUUUCAGUUCCCCGAUGAAAGAUGGUGCAUCAGCAAAUGCACUUUUAUGCCGCUAUAACUGUGGCUAUAUUAGGCCUAUGGUCGGUAUAGAAACGUAAGAAAAAAGUUACACCCCUAUCCAAUAUUAAUAAACUAGUGGAAGUUUUAACGUAGAUCCAGUGUAACUGACCCACCCAGUAGAGAGACAAGGGUGAGGUAAUAUCUGACUGGACCAGCUUCUGUUGGAGAGAGAGAGAUAAGCUUUCAAACUUACACAGGAGAUCAUCUUCAGGGCUUGGGACCAACACAUCUAGAACACUGCAUGUAUUCAGUAGACACAUACUGAGGCCUGAAUCUACAAUCUGAUCCAUAUGAGUGAAACCAGACAUAAAGUAACUACUUUGGCAACAAAUCCCCCAAAUUUAGUGAGAUGUCAAACAGAGGGAAAUACAUUUCAGCCUUUUUCAAACUCUGAGCUGUUAACAAUUUCUCUGAAGGAGGCAUGGGCAAUGGUCUAAGAAUGCCAGAAGUUCUCAGGCUCCUCUUUGCAGGAUCCAUCAGAUAACAAAAGCCAUCUAUCCCUCUAAAGAGUUGGUACAUAACUAACAUCAAAUAUACAAAGCACACCACAGUUCUGUAAGAUGAUGCUCAGCACGUGAAGAAAACGUAAUACUAAAAAUCUAUAUGACCUCAAUGAUUUUUUUAAAAAUGCCAAACAUUGAUCUGUGAUGUACAAACUCUUCCCUGCCUCAUUUCCCCACACAGACAGUGGUGAUACAGCAAAAACCACAGGUUAUUGUUUUCCUUGUUUGAAGAACAAAUGAAAUCUGGACAAAGAACUAUUCAGAGUAAGUGCGCCUGUUCACAGCAUGGGAAGAGGGGUGCAAUUAGGUAUUGAUGUGGUCGAUAGAUUAAUACUCUGUGGC